UGCGCACCGGCUAUUUAAACUGAGGUGCCAAACUGGGUCCCUCCCAUUUCCGCUUCUCCUGUGGUGGCUGCAGCUUGGCGGAGUAACGCAAAUUGUUUGGCGUGGCAGUAUUCAUGUCCUACUCUCUACCGGACAGCGGGAUUUGGCUGUGGGAUUUGCGGGUCUCAUUCCCUCCCUUGUCGGCUCUGUGGCUGCGCCUGGCUGCACCGGGUGGGGUGUUCUAACUAUUCUCGCUCCCCACCUUUGGCCAUCAUUCCCGUCCCGUGCUGCUGUUUUGGCUCUCGAGUUUUGGGCUCUGUGAGCUUCGCUCCUCGCUG